AGGCUACAUAACGUGUAAGGUAACUUCUUUGAAAAGUCAUUACUUUAUUACAUUGUUCAACAUUUUCUUAACAUUUGUCAUAAUUAGCAAUGCAUUUGUAUCUGCUCUCGUUGUAGAUCGGCUGCAUAUUUUCCGCCAUUUUCUUCAAAUCUGAAAACAAUGUGAAGCCACGCCCAUCUCCUGAAGAAUUACAUUAUGCUCCCUAAAGUACGGAAAUAGUGUCUUCUGCGUGUAUACUUCAUAUUUUUGCAAAUUUAGUACGACAUCCGGGAACUUUUGGCAUACUAACUAUAUCCAUACUAUGACCAAUAAGCAUACUAUAUUGCGGUUAGUAUGAGUAUUCGAACACAGCUAUUGUCCUUAUCCAUACCAUAGCUGCUGCUAUGGAUAUGCCUUUUACUUGAGAGCUCUGUCUUCUUUUCCAGGUCUCCCUUGACAAAAUGAGGUUAUUUUUGACUUGGUAAAAUAAUCUAACGGUUGUGUGCACUCUCGCAAGAUAGAAUUGUGUGGUUUGGUGGCAGAUUUUCAAAAGAAAAUAGAAAUAUACAGUAUAUCAUCAGCACAUCUCAAUCAGAUGAGAUACACAGCUAACCCAAAUUUAAUUUCAUUCAUAAAUGUGGACACUAAUUAUUGUUAAUAUUCCAAUUCUCUAGGCCCUCCAUUCCAAAACCUGAAGCCCCCUGUCCUCAGCAGGAAAGACCAGGAAAAAGUGUUGGCUUAAGGUACAACUUCCUAUUGAGGAAAUAUCUGCCAACCAGGCUCGGUGGGUGACAGGUAACAAUGAUUCAACCAAGCUGCUCCAGGCCUGGAGUGGCAUGCUGGAACUUCCAGAGGCUUGUAGACCUGAAGCAGUAUGAUGUGGUCCAGAUCUGACAUCCCUAUUAGCUCAACCACAGUCCUCAAAGCUGAAGUCGUCUGCCCCUGCACCUGCUACAUCGGCCACGACAGGUGAUGCAGAUCUGCCACCCCCAGCAGUUCAGCUGCAGUCCUCUGCUGUGGUAUUUCAUUUACCGACUGCACCAGUUCCUACCACACUGGCCGUGAAGGGAGAAACUUUUGAGGAUUCCCAAAUGGAUACAGAUCUGCCAUGCACUCCACCACUGCCUGACAGACUCAUCUCUGAGAAAGCAGAGAUGGGUGGCUGACAUGGAAAAAUAAAACACAACACACACUCUCUCUCUCUGUCAUACACACUCACACACAUUAUCCCCAGUGUAAAUGAGUUGUAAUUACUUGUUUAUUUUAUGUUUGCUCAAUUUUAUUUUAGGAUUUGAGAUAUCUACUCCUACAUAUCCAUUCUCAAUAUCUACAUAAUUACUCUAACUAUCAAAUCAAAGUGUUAUUGGUAUUGUAAAAGACUUGCUUAAUUUGUACAGUUUGAGGAAAUUCUGUGUGCUUUUUAAAAACAUGCCUCCCUCUCACACACACACAUUAGACCCAAUGUAAAUACAUUGUUUAUUUUAUGUAUGCUC